rnacentral:tRNA from 1 species
AAAAAUUUGGUGUAAUAGCAUGUUUUGUUUUGGUCAAAGAGGUGGUUUAGUAUUAGUACCAAUUUUUA